rnacentral:rRNA from 1 species
UACGUAGGGGGCAAGCGUUGUCCGGAUUUAUUGGGCGUAAAGAGCGUGUAGGCGGUUAGGUAGGUCCGUUGUGAAAACUCGAGGCUCAACCUCGAGACGCCGAUGGAAACCAUCUGACUAGAGUCCGGAAGAGGAGAGUGGAAUUCCUGGUGUAGCGGUGAAAUGCGCAGAUAUUAGGAAGAACACCCGUGGCGAAAGCGGCUCUCUGGAACGGUACUGACGCUGAGACGCGAAAGCGUGGGGAGCGAACAGG